AAUCAUAUAGUCAUAUCAAUUGAUGCAGAAAAAGCAUUUGAUAAAAUCCAACAUCCUUUCCUGAUAAAAACUCUCAACAAGGUGUGAAUAGAAGGAUCAUUCCUCAACAUAAUAAAAGCCAUAUAUGACAAAUGCACAGCCAACAUCAUACUCAAUGGGCAAAAACUAAAACCACUUCCACUAAGCACAGGAACAAGAGAGGGAUGCCCACUCUCACCACUCCUGUUCAACAUAGUACUGGAAGUACUAGCCAUUGUGAUUAGACAAGAA